rnacentral:lncRNA from 1 species
CUUCCUCAUUUAUGUUUCCUCUUGAAGACAUCAAGGACCCUUCAAAACACACGACGUUCCUGCCCCAGGCAAAAAGCCCAGUUACCUCUGGCCACUGCAGUUUGGCUCAUCAUCAGGGAACCUUUGCCUCCUCCAAGACCAAGGCACCACUCCAGUAACAGGAGCCAACUGAAGCUUGGAACUCCAAGGAAUGCUAAAGCUAUAGCCCGAGGACCUCUGGGGCCAUAUCUCCCAGGAAGAUCUUGCCUCCUCACUGAAGCUCCUGGCCUGGCCUCCUGCAGUGCCACACUCCGUGUAUUUGACAAGCUGAGUUGGACACUCCAUGUGGUAGAGUGUCAGUUUGUCAAAUACCCCAAGUGCGGCAUAUGCCUAACAGCUCCAAGCCAGGGCAGUUGGGAUACAACAAACAAAUUGCCAGCUGAAUACAAGAUCACUCUCCAAACACAAACUAAACUUUCACAAGUUAUUUUCAGUGACUUGAGGGAACUGAAGCAUUGUAUCUGAGGGUGCCAGGGGAAAAGUGAGGCAAUUCUUGAAGCCACAGAUCUGGAAUGUUUCUACACACAUUGUCAGAGCCCAAGCAGGACAUAAUGGUCUUGAAAAGGUAUAUGGAAUCCAGGGAUGGAAGUGCUCUUUGAUUUGUAUUUUUUUUCUUCACAUUCCUCUUACAGAGUCUCCUAGAAAGGACACCAGAAUUCUCACACAAGCUUCAUGAUAGGGCUUAGAAACCCACUUUCCUGACACUCAGCCUUGGCUUCUAGACACACUUUGACCUUAUCUUUCUCUUCUUCUUCAUGCCUUUUCUCCUUCUGGUAAUACUUUAUCUAUUUUUUUCUGCCUACUCAAUUAUUUCUCAUACUUCUGGCUCAGAAAAAUUCCAGUCUCUCCAAGGACUUUUGAAAGUCAACCUACACUUUUUUUCUUCUUCAUUUGAAGAACACACCUUGCCUUAGCCCUUGUAUGUACCCAUUUCUUCUAUUGUCCAAUGGAACCUCUUGAAUUAUUAAUAAACUUUUGCAGUGGAUAUUUUUAAUUCCCCCC